GUGCAUAAUGGCGGUUGGUCUCUUUUGUUGAGAUCACUACUGACAAGACGUUGUGAGGGAGCUAAGGACCAAUUGCAGAGGCCCUGCUGUGACCCAGGGCAGAGCCUGUGGGCAGAACAUAAUGAAGUGGAUUAGCAGAAGGGCUUCUGCAGUGGCAGGAGACCCAGAGGCGCCCAGGGCUGUACAGAAAGGAGCUCUGAGCUGUGGCCUGGCAGCUGGGUGGGCACCCCGUGGCAAAUUGCUGCUCGGGAACACUGUGGGUACUUCGGAAGGAGGCCAGAGGCACCCCACAGAAGGGUGAGCCAGGCAGUGUGUGGGGCAGGCCUACAACAAAGACCAAGAUGGGCACUGGGGACAACCUGUGGCUUCCGUUAGGAGCAUCUGCCCUACUUGAACGUCUAGCUCAGUGAUGGGCAUGCACAGGAAGAAGACAGCCUUCUGUGGGGGUGUCUCCAUAAGGCCCUGUCCCCAUUGCUGCUAGGAGUGAGAAAUACUAGACCUUCCUCUGGGUUGGAAAAAAUCUUCGUUUUAUGCACAUUGUGUUGCUGAACAAAAACAGAGAUCUCGUUGGCCAAAUUGUGACACCUAGAACAUUCAAACAUAUAAGAAGGGCUGGGGUGCAGCUCCGGGAUAGAGAGCUUUCCUGGCCUGCUCCAGGGUCUAGGUUUGAUCCCCAGAACCACAAAGUAAAGAAGGAAGGAAGGAAGAGGGGGUGAGAUAGAAUGUGAGGAAGAACCCAUGAAUUCAUAAUAAUCCUCAAAAAGGAAAAGCUGAGACAUUUGCUGGAACGCAUCUAUACCCACAAAUCUGUCCUAGCAAUAACAGCGGUGACAGUGAUACCGAAGGGUGUUAUCAUUGCCCCCUGGGUUGUGAAGGCCUCUGACCCACCCUGUGGAUGCCACCGAGGUACCAGGAUGGAAAGUUCCGCCAAGUCUCAAGUGGAAACUCAGCUCUCCCUGGUCAUGUAGUGAAGUGGAGGGAGGUAAAGCAGAGGAAGGAGGCAGAGGCUGCCUGUGCCCAGCGGCAGAGAGGGGAUCUCCCUGAAGAUCCACCGUGCCGGACCCCGUGUGCCUUGGGAGCACCAAUGGAGAGUCCUGUGCCCUGAGUCGGCUCCAGGCUUAGCUCUUGGAGUCUGCCUGUAGCUCACCGUCCAGAACUAGCAAAGGGUUAGGAAAUGGGAGCUGCCGUUAGUUUUUCUUAUUUUAACUUCAGACCAUCCAGCAAUUGCUGCAUUGUUUAUCCAGGAAGUACUGUUUUCUACUUUCUUAGUGAUACUGCUUCUGCUCUCUGAAGGCACGUUUCAUAAAUAAUAUCCACAGGAGGCUGAUGCAUGUCCAAGGAGCGGCCCUCAUCUUCCCCAUGUUUCCAAAUGACCUGGAAUAAGUCUUACUCCUUACUAGGAGAGUGGGCUGAGCUCACCGGCCUCCUCCUCCUUUACCUCCCUGUGGUGGAUCUUGAGGCUUUGGGCAGAAAUCAGUGUUAGCUGCGUAGUCCUGCGGGGAGGAGAGCUUAUCUUCUCCCCUUGUGCUUUAAGGGAGGCUUAUCUGUCCCUGGAUCUUCUGGAGCACACUGGAAUUUAUUUGAAGGGUGACUUGGGGGUAUCCUUAAUUUUUGCUUCCUUCUUUCAUGGCUCACCCUUUCUGCAGACUAUGGAGAGAUAAUUGUCUGAGAGGCAGCCUGACCUGCAUGCUUCAUGUUUGAACAGAGUCAUGGGUAGCACGAUGUUCGGUACAUAGCCCCUCCACCGAGGAUGAGCCAAGGAAACAAAUCCUGUCUUGUUACUCUCUUGCCUUCUCCUGCUUUCAUCUCUACUUCUUUAACUUAGUUGUAAAGCUUGAGAAGCAUUCAUGCUAAGCUUCUUUGGAAUGCUGUAAAGGUGAGGAAAUGAAUUACUGUGCUUUCUGCAACCUCAAUAUCAAACCAGAAGGCAUAUGCUUUGUAAAAUGCAUCACAUAAGUUAUACACGAGCCAGUAGAGUGAAUAAAAGGUCUGUGAUCAAAAUAUACAGUGACUAAUUAAAGUUUAAAAAUGUGUGAUAAGUAAGAAUACAUUGCCAUUGGCUCCCUCCCCCCAACACACUUACCCCAUCAUUCUUGGCACUUUCUGAAGCAGUUCUGGAAGACUUCUUUUGUGAGUAUCUUUAUGAGGUGGGAUCAAAAAUAGAGUGACUGCCUCCACGGAGCGCCGUCCAAUGGAGAGGCAGCUCUAAAACAUCACAGAGUGUCCUCAUCCACCUUAUUCACCAGAUCUGCCACCGUGUGACUUUUGGCUCUUCCCCAAAGUCAAAAUGGUCAUGGUAGAUACAUGUUCUGAAUCAAUUCAGGACACGGAGGAGGCACAGCAGCCACUCAUGGAAGAGGACUCCCAGAACUGCUUCAGAAAGUGGCCGGAGUGAUGGAACGUUUGUGUUUGAAGUGAAGGGGAGCACUUUGGGAUGGAUUAACGACAAUGUGUCUUUUAUUGUAAUAAACGUUUUUAAGUUUAAACACCCGCUGUGCCGUCUGCUCCCACCUGUGUGAAUGGACAUCCCUAUCGGCCUGUGGGAAUGAACACAUAUCCAUGACUUCUUGGCAUGAACUAAAAGAUGGA